rnacentral:misc_RNA from 1 species
AAGUCGUAACAAGGUAACCGUAGGUGAACCUUCGGUUGGAUCAUUAAUAUAAGUAAUUUUUUAUUUUGUGAGUGAAUUUGUUGAAUGAAUGUCAACAAUUGAGAAAUUGAGCAAUAGUCGGAAAUGUUGUAUAAUAUAAAACAACUUUUAACAAUGGAUCUCUUGGCUCUC